GGGCGUUACCGAAGGAGGACUGGGGGCUGAGGUAGAUCUCGUGGCUGGCGGCGCCGUGCUUGACGCGGACGCGGAUGGGGAGGGGCGGCGGCGGCGCCGCCGCCGCCGCCGCGGAGUCGGCGUCGGGGUUCCGCUUCUGGACGAGCAUUCCGCAGGGCCUCACCUCCCACUCUGGGUCCUUCGCCGGCGGCGAACCAGCGGUCACCGUCGCCGCCGCCGCCGCCUUCUUCAUCGGAGCAAAGACCGGCGGCGCCUUCUUCGUCGUCCUCAUCAUCCCCUCUCCGCUGUUAUCGUUCCGAGGAGGAGGAGGAGGAGGAAGAGGAGGAAGAGGAAGAGGAGAUUCCGAGAAACCGGCGGUGGAUCUGCCGCCAAUCCUCCGCCGCCGCGGCGGAGAAGAAGAGAGGGAAAUGGUGGCGGCGAGUGGCGGGGGACGCUGUGAUGUGGGCGGCGGCGACUGGCGAGGGGCGAGGGAAUAUAAAACCGGGGGAGGGGAGGAAGAGCGCGCCCAGACCACGCAGGAAAGGGAAAGGAGGA
rnacentral:lncRNA from 1 species